rnacentral:rRNA from 1 species
UACGUAGGUGGCAAGCGUUGUCCGGAUUUAUUGGGUUUAAAGGGUGCGUAGGCGGCCUAUUAAGUCAGUGCUGAAAUCCUCCGGCUCAACCGGAGAUGUGGCAUUGAUACUGAUGGGCUAGAGUACAGAUGAGGUAGGCGGAAUUGACGGUGUAGCGGUGAAAUGCUUAGAUAUCGUCAAGAACACCUAUAGCGAAGGCAGCUUACUAGGCUGUAACUGACGCUGAGGCACGAAAGUGUGGGGAUCAAACAGG